UCUUUUAUCUUCGGGGCAGGAAGAGCCAGCUUACCUGGAGAGGGGGUGGCGGGAGAAGGCGAUCAGGUGUUUGAGAAGAUUUGGCGGAACCCGAAGUUUUUACCGUCUUAGGACUUUAACCUCGCUUUACGACGAAUGCAAUCGGGAUCGCUUUUGAGUUGAACAAUGACCAUAGUUGACAAAGCUUCUGAAUCUUCAGACCCAUCAACCUAUCAGAACCAGCCUGGCAGUUCUGAGGCCGUCUCACCUGGAGACAUGGAUGCAGGUUCUGCCAGCUGGGGUGCUGUGUCUUCGUUAAAUGAUGUUUCAAAUCACACACUUUCUUUAGGACCAGUAGCUGGUGCUGUAGUUUAUUCAAGUUCAUCUGUACCUGAAAAAUCAAAACCAUCACCACAAAAGGAUCAAGCCCUAGGUGAUGGCAUUGCUCCUCCACAAAAAGUUCUCUUCCCAUCUGAGAAGAUUUGUCUUAAAUGGCAACAGACUCAUAGAGUAGGAGCCGGGCUCCAGAAUUUGGGCAAUACCUGUUUUGCAAACGCAGCACUGCAGUGUUUAACUUACACGCCACCUCUCGCCAACUACAUGCUUUCACACGAGCACUCCAAGACAUGUCAUGCAGAAGGAUUUUGCAUGAUGUGUACAAUGCAAGCACAUAUCACCCAGGCACUCAGUAAUCCUGGGGAUGUUAUUAAACCGAUGUUUGUCAUUAAUGAGAUGCGGCGUAUAGCCAGGCACUUCCGCUUUGGAAACCAAGAAGACGCCCACGAAUUCCUUCAGUACACUGUUGAUGCUAUGCAAAAAGCAUGCUUGAACGGCAGCAAUAAAUUGGACAGACACACCCAGGCCACCACACUCGUCUGUCAGAUAUUUGGAGGCUACCUAAGAUCUAGAGUCAAAUGUUUAAAUUGCAAAGGUGUUUCAGAUACUUUUGAUCCAUAUCUCGAUAUAACUUUGGAGAUAAAGGCCGCUCAGAGUGUCAACAAGGCAUUGGAGCAGUUUGUAAAGCCGGAACAGCUCGACGGGGAAAACUCAUACAAAUGCAGCAAGUGUAAAAAGAUGGUUCCAGCUUCAAAGAGAUUCACUAUACAUAGAUCUUCUAAUGUUCUUACACUUUCUCUGAAACGUUUUGCAAAUUUUACUGGUGGAAAAAUUGCUAAGGAUGUGAAAUACCCUGAGUAUCUUGAUAUUCGACCGUACAUGUCUCAACCAAACGGAGAGCCGAUCAUUUAUGUUUUGUAUGCAGUCCUGGUACACACUGGUUUUAAUUGCCAUGCUGGCCAUUACUUCUGCUACAUAAAAGCUAGCAACGGCCUCUGGUACCAAAUGAACGACUCCAUCGUGUCUACUAGUGAUAUCAGAUCGGUACUGAGCCAGCAAGCUUACGUCCUCUUUUAUAUCAGGUCCCAUGAUGUGAAAAACGGAGGUGAACUUCCUCAUUCCGCCCACAGCCCCGGCCAGUCCUCACCCCGACCGGUCAUCAGUCAGCGGGUUGUCAGCAGCAAACAGGCAGCCUCGGGAUUCAUUGGCCCACAGCUCCCCUCUCACAUGAUGAAGAACCCCCCUCACCUGAACGGGACGGGACCGCUGAAGGAAACGCCGAGCAGCCCCCUGUCAGGUCCCAGCGGAAAUUCCAGUGUCAGCAGGACUGGUCCUGUGAACGCCUCCCCGUCUGUUCAGAACUGGUCAGUUAACAGGCCCUCAGUUAUUCCAGAACACCCCAAGAAACAGAAAAUCACGAUCAGUAUUCACAACAAGUUACCUGUGCGCCAAGGUCAGUCUCAGUCUAACCUUCACAGCAAUUCUUUGGAGCACCCCAACAAGCCCGCCCCCUCUUCUACCAUUACCACUUCUUCUGCAAUACAGUCUACCUCGAGUGCCCCCACGCCGCCCGCCUCUAGUAAGGUCCCAAAGCAGAUGGCCCCGAGGGAGGCCUGCUCCAGGCCCGUGAUGAACGGCAGGUCCAGGCUGAGCGCUGGCGUGCUGGUCCCCUACGGCGCCGAGUCCUCCGAGGAGUCUGAUGAGGAGGCCAAGGGCCUCGGUCAGGAGAAUGGCCUCAGCCUGACCGAGAGCGCGUGCUCCCCUGCUCCAGACGCCGAAGAUAGCGAGGCCUCCCUGCACGAGCUCCGAGAGCCCGUGGCUCUAAAUGGUGCUACUGGUCCGGACAGCGACCCGGCGGAAAACGGCCUGCCGUCGGACGGGGCCCCUUGCCCAGGCCAGCCCGCGCUGCACUCAGAACACCCCUUUCCCAAGGCAAACGGCCUCGCUGGGAAGUUGAUGCCUGCUCCUUUGCCACCUCUUCCAGAAGACAAAAUCUUAGAGACCUUCAAACUCGGCAGCAAAGCCAAAGGCUUGGCAGAGGAGACGAGGACACCUGGCUCAGAGGAGAGGCCUCUGGAGCAUCCGGAGGCAGAGCUGGAGGCCAGCCACUCCCCUCCCGACGACGCCCGGGACAACCUGGAGUCUGUCUCGAGUCUCAGCAGCAAAUUCAAGAAGGCUUUGCCGCCCUCGGACCCCAGCAUCAAACCUACCAAAGAAGAAGUCUCUGAACGUGUUUUGGCAGAACCCGAGGAGGCCGUGCCGAGUGUCAGCACCUUUUGUAACCCCGACAAGGAUGCCCUCGGGGACGAUCAGCUUCCAGCACCCUGUGACCCUGGGAACUUAACAGACGAUCAGAGCAAACCGUCCCCGGACGUGGCAGGGAUGUUACCAGAGCGGCCCCAGGACCCGGUGGCUACGGAAGCCAUGGGGAGGCUGAGCCCGGGUCCCUCUGUGCCUUCCGAGGGCGACCGUGAGCCCGAGCCCUUGGGUCACAGCGGUCGGGACAGAGGCUCGGAUGCGGAGGGUCCCGCUAAGAGCACAGGGGUGUCUACAGACGAGGUGCCCUCUCCGCAGCUAGACACGAUCACAGAAAACCAUCCCGAGGGGCCCCCUGAGCGCAGCAGCGGUGAGAGAGGGGAAGACAGUAAGGCUGGGCAGAAGGCCCCGGAGCCGUGUCCGGUCCAGGAGAAGGUCAGCAGCCUCAGAAAGGUCGACCGAGGACAUUACCGCAGCCGAAGAGACCGCUCAUCCAGCGGCGAGCGUGCACGGGAGAGCCGGAGCAGGACUGAGGUGCAACAUCGGCGGAAGCGGCCCCACCGGGAGCACGAGCGGCCGCGGCCCGAGCGGCCCCGACUGGAGCCCUGCGCCCCAGCCCCACAGCCCCCCUGCCUCAGCUCCCUGGCCAGGUCGGGCCACCACCACUCCCGGAGCAGGGGCGCCCCCGACCAGGAGUGGGGCCGCUACCACCACGCUGAGGGCGAGCACACCUGGGCCCGGGAGAAGUACUACCCGGACAGGCUGCGCUGGGAGCGCUGCCGGUACCACCACGACAGGUCCCCCCUGUACCCCAGCCGGGAGCCCCGGGACUGGCGGCCCUUCCACGCUGAGCGAGAGUAUGAGCGGGCCGGGCCCUACGGUGGCCGGCCCUACAAGGACCACUACAGAGGCCGCAAGGGCUACGAGCUCACGGCCAAAGAGAGGGACCGGCACCGCUUCAGCAGCCCCCGGGCAGGCAUGGCCCAUGCGCCCCCUCCACACCCCGCCGCCAAGUACGCCCACGACAGGCUCAGCUUCGGGGCUGAAGACGGCAGCUGCGACCUGGCCGGGCGGUUUCAUGAACACAACAUUAAGUCACGGAAACGGAGAUAUGAUAGCCUAGAGAAUGACAGUCAUGUAGAAAAGAAAGCCUGGAGAAGCUUACAGAAGGACCCUUUAGAGGAGCCCAAAGUAAAGAAGCACAAAAAAUCAAAGAAAAAGAAGAAAUCCAAAGACAAACACCGGGACCGAGACUCCAGGCAUCAGCAGGAUUCAGACCUUUCCGUAGCGCACUCUGACGCUGACCUCCACAGACACAAGAAGAAGAAGAAGAAAAAGAAGAGACACUCGAGGAAAUCAGAGGACUUUGGGCGAGAUUCAGAACCACGCUUGCCCAAGGCAGCCAGCUGUGAGACUGUGGACCAUUUCCGGAGAGCCGAGGGCACCUUCCCCCUUGCAGACGGCCUGCCGCUGGAGGGCGCGGCACCUUUCUGUGAGAAAACCAAACACUUCAGGAUGGAGAGCCGGGAGGUCAGGUGUCGUCUGUCCGAGUGCGGCCAGGGUAAGGGGGCGCGCUGGGCGUGGCGGCCCGCCCUUGGGAGGAGGCGGUCGCUCGGGGAAGGAGCCUCACAGGGCGGAGCAGCUGUCAGUCUCGCUGAGCCCCGCCCCGCGUCCUCACCCAGCUCCCGGGAGGCCUCCGCGCGGCGCCUCGAGGCUUGUGGGAGCGCUGAGUGAGGUAGAGCCAGGAACCUGUGCGCUGUGUGGCUCUGAGCGUCUGACUGUGGACAGAACUUCUGUUUUUACGCCAUGUUUGACAGAGAUAUUGUUGUGGUACCUCCUUUCUCUCCCGGGUCCUGAACCUCUGCCCGUUGUGAGGAGACGCUGGAAGUCUGUCUGGUGACCGGUGCGCAGGCGUCACGCCUCGGGCCCGGGUCUGGGGCGCCGGCUCCCGGUGGGGGUCUGGGUCAUCCCAGGCUGCCGGGCGCAGGGAUUCUUGUCUGCCCUGCAGGGCUUGGUCCAUUUAUAACUUCCUAGCCUCUCCUGCUCUGACCGCUCUGUACGCAGCCCUUCUGGCUUUCUCAGCUGUUCCCCUGACCUUCGACCCUAGGAGGAGUGCCGAGCGUUGGAAGGGGCCGGCCGAGGGCGGGGCGCCACCUUCAGGUGGCCUGCCGGUUAGGAAGGAUUUGACAUUUUUAAAUGGUUGGAAGAGUCCAAAGAAGACUUUCAUUUCACAUGAAAAUUUUGUGAAAUUGAUGUGUCAGUAAAGCUGCGCUGCAGCCCAGUCCCCGUCCAUAGCCCCGCGGAGCUGGCAGAGCCUGGCCUGGGCCUUCCAUGGACCAGCUUGCUGACCCCCCACCCCGACACCCGAGGUGCCGGCUUGUGACCCUGCCUGAGCCCCAGAGCCCAUAGGUUCUCUACCAUGUCCUGGACCCACUGAGGUGUCAUGGUGGUUGGGGGAGUACCCCCUCCCAUGGCCCACAGUCACGUGAUGGUUGGUGGAGGAGGGACAGAUGGCCGCCCAGCGCACUGGCGUUUGGGAGCAGCAGAGAACAUGAGAGAGGUGGGGUGUCUGGGGAGGGGUGGAUGCUGGGCGUGCUUGGAGCGAAUGAGGAGACUGUGGGGCCCCUAGGGAAGCUACGUGUUCUCUGUUCUGUUUGUUAAGAUGGGAACAAUGUGCAUUUCCACCUUGGUUUCCACGAACAUCUCAGCGUUUGGGGCAGGGGCUUGGUGAGAUGAGUCCCUUCUGACCGCGUGGGGUGAAGUGGUCCGGGCAGGUCCUCGGGAAUUCUGCGCGUCUGCCUGAAUCUUCCCCUUUAGGCUGCAGGUCUAAGGUGAGGACCACAGCUGGAGGCCACCAGCCCACCACGGGCACGGCUCACCCACAGAGCUGGCUCGGGGGCCACUAGGUGGCAGGCGAAGCCCAGUAGUGGACAUGUGGUGGCCCACAUGCAGGUCUCCAGGGGCUGCAGGCGGGAGACCCUUUCCUGUCCUCAAUCUGAUGGCAUCUGAUGAUGCUCGGACGCCCAUCCUGUCCUGACCUCCUGGGAAGGGCCACCCCCAAAGGCCCAGCACCGCUGUCAGCUUUCAGAGGAUGGACCUCUUUGCCUGCCUGUCUCUCCUGGCGCCUUGACCACUCUUUCCUCCAGACUCCUCCUGUUCUCUGGCGCCAUCAGGCUCUGGAUUUCUUUGGCCCAACGUUGAAAUGCUGUUGGGUUUGCUGGGAUCAGAUUGGGCUCUUCCCACGGGGACAUGGCCCUCAGUCACCAUGUAAACGCGUCUUUUCAGUGAAACCCUUGGAAGCACAGCUCGUGUAGGACUGAUUUCAGGCAACAAACCUAAGUUUCUGAGAACUGCUUCUAAGUUAAUGAUGUGAUACACACAGAGCACAGGCACUAAAAUUUUUGCAAAAAAACAUCAUUAAAAUGUUUUCUAACCUUUGCUUUCUAGGUGAUUGAAAACUUGGCCUCAAAAAAAAAAAAAAAUUCACUGGUUACGAUUCACGUGUUCAACAGAAGCCAUCCCCAACCCAGCUUAAAUUAUAAAUAGAGAAAAUAACUUUGUUCAAAUCUGCGUGGUGCUUCUUUAGUAAAUACUGUACAGAUUUUACCAUGGAGGACUUUUUUUUUUAGUUUUUACCUUUUCUUAAUUACCCUUAUUCCAAACGGAUGAACACUUUCUACAACUGCUGACCAUUGUAAAAUACUGUGUAUAUAUAUCACAUUGAAAAUAACGCCCUGGACUAGAACAUCUCAAAUGCUGCUUAAUCACAGACUCAGGUUGAUCACUCGUAUUCCAUGCAAUGCUCCUCCAAGUUAGAUAUCCGGUGCAAGACCAACCGGGAAACCAUGGAAUUAUUAAAAGUACAAACUGACAGCGUGUAUAUUUAAUUUAAAGACUUAUUUAAAGAUUCACAAGCUCUCAACUAGACUUUUGAGAGCAGUCUGUUUUCUGUAAUGUCUGAUACUAGAAACUAAUUUGCUUCAUAUUUUAGUUGUAUUCAAGAUUUGAAGAUGUAUUUUAUAGACAAGUUCUGUUUUUGAACUUUGUGGAACUAUUCCAAUCAAUUUACCAGUUAUGAUGAGUAUUUACAUUAUGAAUGUAUAAUCCAAACAUUAUUUGUAAGGCCUACAGUAUGUUUUUAUUACAUAACACUUUUUUAUACAGUGUCUCGUCUUGACUAUGAUAUUGGAGUCUGAGUUGUCAGCUUGGUCCCUUCAAGUUUCUAGUUACAGACAAAAUCAUACUGUGAUUUUAUUUUUAAUAUGGAUAUGUUAUCAAACUGUGAUACACUUAUAAUUCACUGGUCCUGCAUCAGGAGAUGGAGUGGGGAAAACUGUAUUUAAUACAGUUUGUAUCUGAAUAAUCUGUAUGGUUUAUACAGUUUGUGUUGUUCAGAGAUGUCUAAAGUUUGAUCUUUGUUUUUUUAAAGAUUAAAAAAGCACUUGCCCCACUGUAAAUAUACAGCAUGUAAAAUUUAUAUAGUAUAUAAAUGGCAGCAAAUUAAACCUUUUGUGUCUUA